GUAGGUGAACCUGCGGAAGGAUCAUUAGUCUAUGUGUGGCCCGUGAGGGCUUACACGUCGGGUCUCGUCUUUUUGUCGCCGAGGCCGCAAAUUGGUGGGGUGUCUGAAAACCCUUGAAUAUAAAACUUAGUUGCUUUGGCGGGCCGCCCUUGGGCGUCGGCCCCAGCUGACAGUGCCCGCCAGAGGCCCAAAACUCUAUUGUCUCUGACGUCUGAGUACUAUAUAAUAGUUAAAACUUUCAACAACGGAUCUCUUGGUUCUG
rnacentral:misc_RNA from 1 species